UAUAAAUUAGGCUGUGUGUGUGUGCGUCUGCUUUCACUUAAUGUCUAGCCAGUGCGUCUUCUUCCCUAUAGGCAUACCUUUAAGGAAGAUGAUGGACUGGGUAGACAUUAAGUGAAAGCAGACACACACACACACACACA